UGAGGAAUAUUGGUCAAUGGGCGCAAGCCUGAACCAGCCAUCCCGCGUGCAGGAAGACGGCGCUAUGCGUUGUAAACUGCUUUUCCAGGGAGAGAAACUUGCGCACGUGUUGCGCAAUUGACGGUACCCUGGGAAUAAGCAUCGGCUAACUCCGUGCCAGCAGCCGCGGUAAUACGGAGGAUGCGAGCGUUAUCCGGAUUCAUUGGGUUUAAAGGGUGCGUAGGCGGACUAUUAAGUCAGUGGUGAAAUCCUGCAGCUUAACUGCAGAA
rnacentral:rRNA from 1 species